AUAAACCUUUUAUUAGAA
rnacentral:tRNA from 1 species